UACGUAGGCAGCAAGCGUUGUUCGGAUUUACUGGGCGUAAAGAGCGCGUAGGCGGUUUUGUAAGUCGGGUGUGAAAUCCCCAAGCUUAACUUGGGAGCUGCAUUCGAGACUGCAUAGCUAGAGUAUGGGAGAGGGAAGUGGAAUUUCAGGUGUAGCGGUGAAAUGCGUAGAUAUCUGAAGGAACAUCAGUGGCGAAAGCGACUUCCUGGACCAAUACUGACGCUCAUGUGCGAAAGCGUGGGGAGCAAACAGG
rnacentral:rRNA from 1 species